GUGCUCACUUUGGCAGCACAUAUACUAAAAUUGGAACAAUACAGAGACGAUUAGCAUGGCCCCUGCGCAAGGAUGGCAUGCAAAUUUGUUAAGCAUUCCAUAGUUUU
ensembl:snRNA Gm24465 predicted gene, 24465